rnacentral:lncRNA from 1 species
UCUCACCUAACCUAGGUCAAUUUAGGUCUCCAUCUCUGGUAACUGAAAAGAGACCCAACGAAACGUCUUACAGAGCACCAGGGCCGAUUCUUGAUGCAUCGUUAGAUUCUGUGUAGCCAGAAAACGGAAACAGAAACAUAUCCAAGCCAGGUGGAGGAAAAACUUUGGCGCCUGUUUAUCCAGGUUCAAGACAGUUUCUAUUUAAAAAAAAAAAAAAAGAAAAGAAAAGAAAAAAAGUUCAUAACAGAAUAAGUUCAGAUUCUCCUGUGACUGUCAGAGCUAAGAUCUGAUGCCUCUGCUGGUUUCCAUGACAACUACCAGCAGCUACCAUCAUGCCGAACCCAGAACCAGAGGAUUCGGUGACUUUACCUUGAUGCUGUGGCCGGAUUAUUGCCGACUUUAAAAGGAAAUGCAUAGUGAGCCCCUGUCUCUGUUGUGUCUUCAGCUGUCCUUUGAAACGUGGAUGUCUUGACAAGAGGCCAGGGCAGGGCUCCUCUCUCCUCUCCCCGAGCUGGUGUCCUUCCCAGAUGAAUUUCUUCUGGUGCCGGUGAGAUUACUUGGUGGCCUAGUUCCAGCUACACAAGUUAUGCUGUCGUGAUUGCUGGGGCACUCAGUCCAUGUUUGUUGAAGCGAAGAGGAAAUCCAUGAAAAAGCCGCAGCGCCGGCAGCCAGAACAGGAUCCCGCAGAGGACGCAGACCCGGGCGUCACCUCCGGCUCGCAGCGUGGAGGCCCCAGCCUGCCUUUGGCCCUGGCUCGCCAGCGCCACCUCGUGGUGUCCACGAGGAAUAGCAUCAUGCGGGGCGCAGGCCCUCCCCGGGGGUGACUGAGAGGCGUGUGUGUGCUGGCGAGGGCCCCGCACCUUGCCUGUCAGCUUUGUGGAGGUGCACAAGCUCGCUGGAGGAAAAGAAUGCUGACCAGUGGCCCGAAAGGAUUUUCCCGCAUCCACUGGAAAUGGGAAGGAUCCUGUCAAAAAUCCAAAGGGAAAUGAUACAACCAGGAAGCCUUGGUGCCCUUCCAGAAGCAUGAGCCCCUUUCCCACGCUGUCACCUGCUUCCCUCCCACAGCCUUCUGCGUUCCAUUUGCCUUGGACCCGCAGAUACCUCAGGGAGGAGCACCACGAAGGCAAACCCACCUCUUUCAUAUCAACAUCCUCUUUCAUAUCAACAUCCAUUGCUACCUGCCAGUAAGUGUCAUAUGGGGUUCUGCAUGCUGGAGACCCCUUCCCACGGGGUGCCUGUGCACCUCCUGCUACAGCACACAAAAUUCUGUAUGGCCCAUCCAGGGAGGAGCAACUGAAGCAAAAACAGCAACUGUGGCUCUCCACACUGGGCCACAGUACGGGAACUAUUGGAUGAGGUCUCAUAGAUGGUCCCUUACGGCUUCUAAUGAGGGAAUGACCAGUGGAGCUCAUAUUUGCUAAAUAUUUCUGCUGGGCUGAAAACUGCUUAGGUGCCC